rnacentral:siRNA from 1 species
UUGGUCCUUUUUAUAGUAUGGCUC